UGGGGAAUUUUGCACAAUGGGGGAAACCCUGAUGCAGCGACGCCGCGUGAUUUAGAAGGUCUUCGGGUUGUAAAAAUCUUUUCUAUGGGAAGAAAAUGACAGUACCAUAGGAAUAAGGACCGGCUAAUUACGUGCCAGCAGCCGCGGUAAUACGUAAGGUCCGAGCGUUGUCCGGAAUCAUUGGGCGUAAAGGGUACGUAGGCGGGUAAGCAAGUUAGAAGUGAAAUCCUAUAGCUCAACUAUAGUAAGCUUUUAAAACUGCUCAUCUUGGGGUAUGGAAGGGAAAGUGGAAGUACUAGUGUAGCGGUGAAAUGCGCAGAUAUUAGGAGGAAUACCGGUGGCGAAGGCGGCUUUCUGGCCAUAACCUGACGCUGAGGUACGAAAGCGUGGGUAGCAAACAGG
rnacentral:rRNA from 1 species